rnacentral:rRNA from 1 species
GGUUAAGCGACUAAGCGUACACGGUGGAUGCCCUGGCAGUCAGAGGCGAUGAAGGACGUGCUAAUCUGCGAAAAGCGUCGGUAAGGUGAUAUGAACCGUUACAGCCGGCGAUGUCCGAAUGGGGAAACCCAGUGCAAUUCGUUGCACUAUCGUUAACUGAAUACAUAGGUUAACGAGGCGAACCGGGGGAACUGAAACAUCUAAGUACCCCGAGGAAAAGAAAUCAACCGAGAUUCCCCCAGUAGCGGCGAGCGAACGGGGAGCAGCCCAGAGUCUGAAUCAGCUUGUGUGUUAGUGGAACGGUCUGGAAAGUCCGACGGUACAGGGUGAUAGUCCCGUACACCAAAAUGCACAGGCUGUGAACUCGAAGAGUAGGGCGGGACACGUGGUAUCCUGUCUGAAUAUGGGGGGACCAUCCUCCAAGGCUAAAUACUCCUGACUGACCGAUAGUGAACCAGUACCGUGAGGGAAAGGCGAAAAGAACCCCGGCGAGGGGAGUGAAAAAGAACCUGAAACCGUGUACGUACAAGCAGUGGGAGCACCUUCGGGUGUGACUGCGUACCUUUUGUAUAAUGGGUCAGCGACUUAUAUUCUGUAGCAAGGUUAACCGUAUAGGGGAGCCGCAGGGAAACCGAGUCUUAACUGGGCGUUAAGUUGCAGGGUAUAGACCCGAAACCCGGUGAUCUAGCCAUGGGCAGGUUGAAGGUUGGGUAACACUAACUGGAGGACCGAACCGACUAAUGUUGAAAAAUUAGCGGAUGACUUGUGGCUGGGGGUGAAAGGCCAAUCAAACCGGGAGAUAGCUGGUUCUCCCCGAAAGCUAUUUAGGUAGCGCCUCGUGAACUCAUCUUCGGGGGUAGAGCACUGUUUCGGCUAGGGGGUCAUCCCGACUUACCAACCCGAUGCAAACUACGAAUACCGAAGAAUGUUAUCACGGGAGACACACGGCGGGUGCUAACGUCCGUCGUGAAGAGGGAAACAACCCAGACCGCCAGCUAAGGUCCCAAAGUCAUGGUUAAGUGGGAAACGAUGUGGGAAGGCACAGACAGCCAGGAUGUUGGCUUAGAAGCAGCCAUCAUUUAAAGAAAGCGUAAUAGCUCACUGGUCGAGUCGGCCUGCGCGGAAGAUGUAACGGGGCUAAACCAUGCACCGAAGCUGCGGCAGCGACACUAUGUGUUGUUGGGUAGGGGAGCGUUCUGUAAGCCUGCGAAGGUGUGCUGUGAGGCAUGCUGGAGGUAUCAGAAGUGCGAAUGCUGACAUAAGUAACGAUAAAGCGGGUGAAAAGCCCGCUCGCCGGAAGACCAAGGGUUCCUGUCCAACGUUAAUCGGGGCAGGGUGAGUCGACCCCUAAGGCGAGGCCGAAAGGCGUAGUCGAUGGGAAACAGGUUAAUAUUCCUGUACUUGGUGUUACUGCGAAGGGGGGACGGAGAAGGCUAUGUUAGCCGGGCGACGGUUGUCCCGGUUUAAGCAUGUAGGCUGGUUGUCCAGGCAAAUCCGGAUAAUCAAGGCUGAGGUGUGAUGACGAGGCACUACGGUGCUGAAGUAACAAAUGCCCUGCUUCCAGGAAAAGCCUCUAAGCAUCAGGUAACAUUAAAUCGUACCCCAAACCGACACAGGUGGUCAGGUAGAGAAUACCAAGGCGCUUGAGAGAACUCGGGUGAAGGAACUAGGCAAAAUGGUGCCGUAACUUCGGGAGAAGGCACGCUGGUGUGUAGGUGAAGCCCCUGCGGGUGGAGCUGAGACCAGUCGAAGAUACCAGCUGGCUGCAACUGUUUAUUAAAAACACAGCACUGUGCAAACACGAAAGUGGACGUAUACGGUGUGACGCCUGCCCGGUGCCGGAAGGUUAAUUGAUGGGGUUAUCCGUAAGGAGAAGCUCUUGAUCGAAGCCCCGGUAAACGGCGGCCGUAACUAUAACGGUCCUAAGGUAGCGAAAUUCCUUGUCGGGUAAGUUCCGACCUGCACGAAUGGCGUAAUGAUGGCCAGGCUGUCUCCACCCGAGACUCAGUGAAAUUGAACUCGCUGUGAAGAUGCAGUGUACCCGCGGCAAGACGGAAAGACCCCGUGAACCUUUACUAUAGCUUGACACUGAACAUUGAGCCUUGAUGUGUAGGAUAGGUGGGAGGCUUUGAAGCGUGGACGCCAGUCUGCGUGGAGCCAACCUUGAAAUACCACCCUUUAAUGUUUGAUGUUCUAACGUUGGCCCCUGACCGGGGUUGCGGACAGUGUCUGGUGGGUAGUUUGACUGGGGCGGUCUCCUCCCAAAGCGUAACGGAGGAGCACGAAGGUUAGCUAAUCCUGGUCGGACAUCAGGAGGUUAGUGCAAUGGCAUAAGCUAGCUUGACUGCGAGCGUGACGGCGCGAGCAGGUGCGAAAGCAGGUCAUAGUGAUCCGGUGGUUCUGAAUGGAAGGGCCAUCGCUCAACGGAUAAAAGGUACUCCGGGGAUAACAGGCUGAUACCGCCCAAGAGUUCAUAUCGACGGCGGUGUUUGGCACCUCGAUGUCGGCUCAUCACAUCCUGGGGCUGAAGUAGGUCCCAAGGGUAUGGCUGUUCGCCAUUUAAAGUGGUACGCGAGCUGGGUUUAGAACGUCGUGAGACAGUUCGGUCCCUAUCUGCCGUGGGCGCUGGAGAAUUGAGGGGGGCUGCUCCUAGUACGAGAGGACCGGAGUGGACGCAUCACUGGUGUUCGGGUUGUCAUGCCAAUGGCACUGCCCGGUAGCUAAAUGCGGAAGAGAUAAGUGCUGAAAGCAUCUAAGCACGAAACUUGCCCCGAGAUGAGUUCUCCCUGAGACUUUAAGUCUCCUGAAGGAACGUUGAAGACGACGACGUUGAUAGGCCGGGUGUGUAAGCGCAGCGAUGCGUUGAGCUAACCGGUACUAAUGAACCGUGAGGCUUAACCUU